rnacentral:rRNA from 1 species
GACGAACGCUGGCGGCGUGCUUAACACAUGCAAGUCGAACGGAAAGGCCCUGCUUUUGUGGGGUGCUCGAGUGGCGAACGGGUGAGUAACACGUGAGUAACCUGCCCUUGACUUUGGGAUAACUUCAGGAAACUGGGGCUAAUACCGGAUAGGAGCUCCUGCUGCAUGGUGGGGGUUGGAAAGUUUCGGCGGUUGGGGAUGGACUCGCGGCUUAUCAGCUUGUUGGUGGGGUAGUGGCUUACCAAGGCUUUGACGGGUAGCCGGCCUGAGAGGGUGACCGGCCACAUUGGGACUGAGAUACGGCCCAGACUCCUACGGGAGGCAGCAGUGGGGAAUAUUGCACAAUGGGCGGAAGCCUGAUGCAGCAACGCCGCGUGCGGGAUGACGGCCUUCGGGUUGUAAACCGCUUGCGCCUGUGACGAAGCGUGAGUGACGGUAAUGAGUAAAGAAGCACCGGCUAACUACGUG